GAAAAACAUUCAGUAAUUAUCAAUAGAGUUGACCUCUUAGGCAUAAUCACAUGCAGUGUGUCAGUCGUUCAGAUCUCAAACUCGGCAUAUGUCGUAGCUCUCCAUUCUACCAUAGUAUAAUAUUAGCCAAUGAGAAGUAACUACGGUAAUAUAGGUAAAGUGCAGAAAUAUUCGAGUGGAGUGUGCAUAAUAUCAAAAAACUG